GAUGAACGCUAGCGGGAGGCCUAACACAUGCAAGCCGAGCGGUAUUGUUUCUUCGGAAAUGAGAGAGCGGCGUACGGGUGCGGAACACGUGUGCAACCUGCCUUUUAUCUGGGGGAGUAGCCUUUCGAAAGGAAGAUUAAUACUCCAUAACAUAUUGAUUGGCAUCAAUUGUAUAUUGAAAGACUCCGGCGGAUAGAGAUGGGCGACGCGCAAGAUUAGCUAGUUGGUGAGGUGACGGCUCACCAAGGCGAUGAUCUUUAGGGGGCCGUGAGAGGGUGAUCCCCCACCAUGGUACUGAGACACGGACCAGACUCCUACGGGAGGCAGCAGUGAGGAAUAUUGGUCAAUGGGUGCAAG
rnacentral:rRNA from 1 species